ACAUGCAUACAAAAUAGCGUUAAUGUAAUGGAUCCCAUUAGAACUCCACAAUUAAGCACACUUGGGAUAGAGUAGUAUUGGGAUGGGUGACCACCCGGGAAUUCCUAGUGUCUUACAUGCC
rnacentral:rRNA from 1 species